rnacentral:rRNA from 1 species
UUGGUGGAGUGAUUUGUCUGCUUAAUUGCGAUAACGAACGAGACCUCGGCCCUUAAAUAGCCCGGUCCGCAUUUGCGGGCCGCUGGCUUCUUAGGGGGACUAUCGGCUCAAGCCGAUGGAAGUGCGAGGCAAUAACAGGGUCUGUGAUGCAAAAAUAGGACUUCGUGUCUGCACAGGUGGUUCUCUUUGAAGUGUGUGGCCCCCGUUUGGAGGUGGGCAUUGUAGGUUCUGUGCUGAGGCUUAUGCCUUUAAACAGACAAUAUGUCCCCA